UACGUAGGGUGCUAGCGUUGUUCGGAAUCAUUGGGCGUAAAGCGCGUGUAGGCUGUCAGUUAAGUCGGGUGUGAAAUCCCUGGGCUCAACCGAGGAAGUGCAUCCGAAACUAACUGGCUAGAAGACGGCAGAGGAAGGUGGAAUUCCAAGUGUAGAGGUGAAAUUCGUAGAUAUUUGGAGGAAUACCGGUGGCGAAGGCGGCCUUCUGGACCGAUCUUGACGCUGAGACGCGAAAGCGUGGGGAGCAAACAGG
rnacentral:rRNA from 1 species